AUUGUUUUGACGAGGAUUUCAUUCAACGAAUCUACUGGGUAAAUCCGAACGAGACCUGUAUGUAAUUAGUGAUUGUUCGUAUGCAAUUAUCAUGCUGAAUAAUUGCAUAAUACAAGAAAUUAAUGAUGUUCAUCAAAUUUACUGUAAUACUAUUUAUUUUUUACUUACUUGCCAACGUUUCAGGAUCGAUUUGGUUCAGCAAUGAUGAUGUUGACGAUGUUGUUAGUAUGAAUGGACUAGAUGUUAAUCUAACAUGGAAAAUCAUGGAAACAAACUACAGAGAUUCAAUUACUAUAACAAAAGAUGGGUGUAACGUCAAUUCUGCGUUGAUCAAGACUAUGGACCCUAACCAUACAAUAAUAACUCUACAUUUAACUCAUGUUCAGAUGGACGACAGUGGUACUUAUAGAUGUACUCUAGGAUUGUGGAACACACGUUACAAAGAUGUUAAUCUCACUAUUAUUACUGAUCUGAAUAUAGAGUGGGAUAUUACACCCAUAAAAGAUCGUUUAGCAAAGGAUGUAACCUUGACAUGGAGAUUCAAACAGAUAACAAACAAAAAGACAUUAUCUAUUUACAGGAAACAGACUAAAAAUG